rnacentral:rRNA from 1 species
UACGGAGGGUGCGAGCGUUGUCCGGAAUCAUUGGGCGUAAAGGGCGUGUAGGCGGUCUGUUAAGUCAUGUGUGAAAUCCCUCGGCUCAACCGGGGAACGACGCAUGAAACUGACAAGCUAGAGUACCAAAGAGGGGGGUGGAAUUCCCGGUGUAGCGGUGAAAUGCGUAGAUAUCGGGAGGAGCACCGGUGGCGAAGGCGGCCCCCUGGUUGGAUACUGACGCUGAGACGCGAAAGCGUGGGGAGCAAACAGG